rnacentral:rRNA from 1 species
CUGGCGGCGUGCCUAAUACAUGCAAGUAGAACGCUGAAGAGAGGAGCUUGCUCUUCUUGGAUGAGUUGCGAACGGGUGAGUAACGCGUAGGUAACCUGCCUGGUAGCGGGGGAUAACUAUUGGAAACGAUAGCUAAUACCGCAUAAAAUGGAUUAUCGCAUGAUAAUUCAUUGAAAGGUGCAAAUGCAUCACUACCAGAUGGACCUGCGUUGUAUUAGCUAGUUGGUGGGGUAACGGCUCACCAAGGCGACGAUACAUAGCCGACCUGAGAGGGUGAUCGGCCACACUGGGACUGAGACACGGCCCAGACUCCUACGGGAGGCAGCAGUAGGGAAUCUUCGGCAAUGGACGGAAGUCUGACCGAGCAACGCCGCGUGAGUGAAGAAGGUUUUCGGAUCGUAAAGCUCUGUUGUAAGAGAAGAACGAGUGUGAGAGUGGAAAGUUCACACUGUGACGGUAUCUUACCAGAAAGGGACGGCUAACUACGUGCCAGCAGCCGCGGUAAUACGUAGGUCCCGAGCGUUGUCCGGAUUUAUUGGGCGUAAAGCGAGCGCAGGCGGUUAGAUAAGUCUGAAGUUAAAGGCUGUGGCUUAACCAUAGUACGCUUUGGAAACUGUUUAACUUGAGUGCAAGAGGGGAGAGUGGAAUUCCAUGUGUAGCGGUGAAAUGCGUAGAUAUAUGGAGGAACACCGGUGGCGAAAGCGGCUCUCUGGCUUGUAACUGACGCUGAGGCUCGAAAGCGUGGGGAGCAAACAGGAUUAGAUACCCU